rnacentral:rRNA from 1 species
UCUCAGUUCGGAUUGUAGUCUGCAACUCGACUACAUGAAGCUGGAAUCGCUAGUAAUCGUAGAUCAGCAUGCUACGGUGAAUACGUUCCCGGGUCUUGUACACACCGCCCGUCACACCACGAGAGUUUGUAACACCCGAAGCCGGUGGAGUAACCUUUUAGGAGCUAUCCGUCGAAGGUGGGACAAAUGAUUGGGGUGAAGUCGUAACAAGGUAGCCGUAUCGGAAGGUGCGGCUGGAUCACCUCCUUU